rnacentral:rRNA from 1 species
GAGUUUGAUCAUGGCUCAGGACGAACGCUGGCGGCGUGCCUAAUGCAUGCAAGUCGAGCGACGCAUCUCGGAGGGGUAACCCACUGGGAUGACGGAGCGGCGAACGGGUGAGUAACACGUGACCAACCUGCCUCGAAGACUGGGAUAGCCCGGGGAAACCCGGAUUAAUACCGGAUACCUUCCUUCCACCGCAUGAUGGAGGGAAGAAAGCCUUUGUGCUUCGAGAUGGGGUCGCGGCCUAUCAGGUAGUUGGUGGGGUAACGGCCUACCAAGCCAUCGACGGGUAGCUGGUCUGAGAGGACGAUCAGCCACACUGGAACUGAGACACGGUCCAGACUCCUACGGGAGGCAGCAGCAGGGAAUAUUGCACAAUGGGCGAAAGCCUGAUGCAGCAACGCCGCGUGGGGGAUGAAGGCCUUCGGGUUGUAAACCCCUUUCAGGAGGGAAGAAAUUGACGGUACCUCCAAAAGAAGCCCCGGCCAACUACGUGCCAGCAGCCGCGGUAAUACGUAGG